CAAAGCUUUGUGCCACAGCCUGAAGAUUUACAAAACACCGAUUUUCCUCCAAAUAUACUCUUAGAAACUAACUUAUUUUAUUUUGCUUCGCCCUCUUCAAGCUUUAUGCUCUUUCCAGCUUCAGCAUGGUGCUCAAAUUCGCCUCAGCAAGGAACACCUUCUGAAAAAUGGAUUAUAUCCUAAGCCCAUGCCAAAGAACAAACGCAAACUCAGGAAAAUGGAACUGUUAAUGAACAGCGUUAAAAUUUAGUACAAUUGUUCUUAUGGUGCUAAUUAUGAUGUCUUCAGCUGACAUUACUUAGUUAAGUUUUCUUACAAUUUAAGUCUGUGGGUUUUGACUAUCUCUUUUAAAAGAAUGAGAGUUACAUACUAAACUUGCCCAGAAGAAGGAGGUAAACCAAAAAGCCAUAGGAGCAAACAAAAACAAUUUCACUGACCUAGUAAAAAGCAAGAUUUUAUACUAUAUUUGUUUUUAAAAAUGUGCCUGUAAUGCAUUUUUUCAAAUCCAUAAUUUGAAAUGUCAUUAGUUGUUGAGUUGGAUAGGAAGUUGCUAGUUUAUACAAAGAAGAAAAUUGUUGUGCCCAAUUGGGACAGUAGUGUUUCCAUUAAUGUUUAUAAAUAAUUAGGUAUGGACCUGUAAUAAAGGAUACUUACAUUGAUUUAUAGUCUUGUACAUAAACUUUAUAGUUUGAAAUAAACAUCGUAGGGAAAUAAUGAUUAUCAAGUAGCUUAGAUUGAAGUUAAUCAAUUUCAUACAAUAGUAUAGGCAUACCUCAGAGAUACUGUGAGUUUGUUUCCAGACCAUGGCAAUAAAGUGAAUAUAGCAUUGAAGUGAGUCAAAUGAACUUUUUGGUUCCCUAGUGCAUUUAAAAAUUUUGUUUACACUGUACUUUAUCAAGUGUGCAACAGCAUUUUGUCUAAAAAAAUUGACAUACCUUAAUUAAAAUAGUUGAUUUCCAAACAAUGCUAACCAUCAUCUGAGCUUUCAGUAAGUCAUAAAACUGAUCACAGAUCACUAUAACAAAUAUAAUUGAAAAAAUUUUAAAUGUUGCAGAAAUUACCAAAACAUAACAUAGAGACACAAAGUGAAUAAAUGCUAAAUGCUGUUGGAAAAAGGCACUGAUAGACUUGUUUGAUGUAGGGUUGCCACAAGCCUUCAAUUUGUAAAAAACACAGUGUCUUUGAAACCCAAAAAAGUGAAGCACAAUAAAAUGCAAUAUGCCUGUAUAACAAUAA